UGGGGGAUAUUGCGCAAUGGGGGCAACCCUGACGCAGCAACGCCGCGUGAAGGAAGAAGGUUUUCGGAUCGUAAACUUCUUUAAGUGUGGAAGAAGAUGACGGUACACACAGAAUAAGCCACGGCUAACUACGUGCCAGCAGCCGCGGUAAUACGUAGGUGGCGAGCGUUGUCCGGAUUUACUGGGUGUAAAGGGCGUGUAGGCGGGAUUACAAGUCAGAUGUGAAAUACCGGGGCUCAACUCCGGGGGCUGCAUUUGAAACUGUAGUUCUUGAGUGCCGGAGAGGAAAGCGGAAUUCCUAGUGUAGCGGUGAAAUGCGUAGAUAUUAGGAGGAACACCAGUGGCGAAGGCGGCUUUCUGGACGGUAACUGACGCUGAGGCGCGAAAAGCAUGGGGAGCAAACAGGAUUAGAUACCC
rnacentral:rRNA from 1 species